AUGGCUCGGCGGUUCAUCAUAAGCAAACGUCUCCUCCGCGCCAACUACGUCUUGAAUGAGAGUACUUACGAGAUCCCCAUCCAGAACCAGCGAAGAGGGAGGAGCAGAGGUGGAAGAAGAAGAGGCAGGCCGCGUCCAAGCAGACGAGACAUGCACACCGUCCACCUCUCCUCCCCCUCUCGACGGCGCGACCAAUACCGCCGCUACGAACAGCACAAGCAACCCCAUCCUCCCCGUCAUGGCUGCCACCUCUCAGAUGCCCGUCCUCCCAAAACCCACCAUCUUUGGAUGGGUUUCGCCCUCACGGAGCGGCAACAGAGAGAGAGGAGGAUCACUAUAUCUCGGGCCGUUGGGCGGCGGAAUCGCCGAGGAGGACGGGUGGGUGCCGUUCGUUUUAUGGAGCACUGA
rnacentral:rRNA from 1 species